rnacentral:rRNA from 1 species
CCUCUGUUCCUAUUUGCUGGGCUCUAGGCUUGAAAGGGCGUUAGGGGUUUUCCGGGGGAUAGGAAGACUGCUUACGAAUAGUAAGAGGAGGGUAGAGGCAAUAACAGGUCUGUGAUGCCCUUUGAUGUCCUGGGCGGCACGCGCGCUACAAUGGCGUGUUCAGAGAGAGGGCUGUGCCGAGAGGCAUGGCGAAACUGGAAAACACGGCGUGCUGGGGAUUGGUGGCUGCAAAUGCUGCCAUGAACAUGGAAUUCCUAGUAAGUACGAGUCACUAGCUCGUGCUGAUUACGUCCCUGUCCUUUGUACACACCGCCCGUCGCUACUAUCGACGUGUGAGGAGGCGAGUCUGCAGGAGGCUGUUUGGCUGAAUGCAGACAAGUCUGUUUACAUGGAGAAAGUAAAAGUCG